UCUGGUUCCAGGCAUCAAUUCGAUUUCAAACUCUAUCUCCCUAGAAGGUGGUAAACCUGACAGCUCGUCUGGGAAAACAUCUAAAAACUCUCUGACCACGGGCACUGAGGCGGGCUCUCUAACAUGACUAUCCAGCUCUCUCACAUGAGCUAGAAAACCCUGACAACCCCUCCUGAGCAACCUACGAGCCUGUAGGGCUGAUAUCAAACCUCUAGGUGUACCCCUCCUGUCUCCUCUGAAGACAACCUCUAACCCAUCCUGACC
rnacentral:lncRNA from 1 species